rnacentral:snRNA from 1 species
AGCUUUGCGCAGUGGCAGUAUCGUAGCCAAUGAGGUUUAUCCGAGGCGCGAUUAUUGCUAAAAUCCAGUUCCUCAGUAGAACUAGCCACAUGUGGUUCAGGACUACUGUAUUGGAUAAUGUGAAACAGAACAUUUCUACAUUCAGAAAAGUUCUACUGAAC